CCUCUUAUCCAGGGUUCUGAGAACUGCUCCUAUUCAGAUAAUAUUGAAAAACCUUUUUUUGGUACUCGAGGAAGACUUUUUUUCUUCUGUCUUAUUUACUCAUUAAAUAUUUACUGAGGCUAACUUUGUACCAAGCUCUGUACUAGGGACACAUACAAAUAAAAGAUAACAUUGUACCGUUGUUUUGGCAAAACAAAGGUACUACGGCGUUUAGUCUGGUGGAGAUGAAAAAUUGACAAAAUAUUUGUUAGUGAUAAGUACUAAGAAGAAAAAUAAAGCUGCGUAAAACACUAGAGGGGCGGUAUUUCGAUAAAGGUCAUUAACAACAUGUAAAAUUCAUGAACCUUAUCUAAGCUAUUGUUAAUUGUGAUUUAUGAUACUCCUCUAACCAUGUAAAUCUUGACACAAAGAUUUGCGUUUUAUGUGGGUAAUAAAACUGACAGCUCACACACAGUUGUUUCUUUACCCUGAAAAUGGCAGGAAAAUACUGUAGAGAAAUCUGUCACUUGAGAUUGUGAACAGAUCACGAAUAAUCUUUAGGCUGGUAUUGUUUCCACAGAUGUUAAGUGUUUUUAGGAAGGCGAGUUACCUAGUCACAUACCGGGAAGAUAUGCUUAGUGUGGAGUCGGAGAGGUUUCGUUGACUGAGAAAACAGGAAUCUAUUGCAAUUGUUUAAGCAAAAAGUGACCAAAGUUGGAAUUAAGGUAGUGGAGGGACAGAGAGGGGGUUUAUGACAGAGGUAAAAGAGUAAGGAGGAAUUUGCAGGUUUUAAUGACUGAUUGAAUGUAGCUGAUAAGGAUGAGGGAGGCACUCAACAUAAUCCCUCUGUACUGAAUGGAGUGAGAUCAGCUGAAUAAUUGCACCAUUAAUUUCGAGCCCCAUGGACUGUAGCCUUCUGGGCUCUUCUGUCCUUGGAAUUUUCCAGGCAAGAAUAUUGGAGCGGGUUGCUGUUCAUCUGUUGAUGGAGGCGUCCAUACUUUGGCAAUUGUAGAACAUGUUUCCUUGCCAAUCUUGCUAAGGAAGACAAAAAAAGAAGACAGAACAUGAACUUCAGCCACAUGAUGUGAAGAAUGGACUCCUUGGAAGAGAUCCUG